GUCCUGUUCGAUUAGUUGGUUAAAUCAUAUCGUUGUGGUCCCCGGAAGGGUAGCUCCGAUAAGCCGGACGUUCGAAUCCUCCACGGGACA